rnacentral:rRNA from 1 species
GAUGAACGCUAGCUACAGGCUUAACACAUGCAAGUCGAGGGGUAACGAGAGGAAAGCUUGCUUUCCUUGUUGACGACCGGCGCACGGGUGAGUAACGCGUAUCCAACCUGCCCCCAGCUAAGGAAUAACCUUGCGAAAGUAAGACUAAUACCUUAUAAUUUCCUCAGAUGUCAUCUGACGAGGAAUAAAGAUUUAUCGGUUGUGGAUGGGGAUGCGUCUGAUUAGCUUGUUGGCGGGGUAACGGCCCACCAAGGCAACGAUCAGUAGGGGUUCUGAGAGGAAGGUCCCCAAGAUUGGAACCGAUACACGGUACAAACUUCUACGGGAAGCAGCAGUGAGGAAUAUUGGUCAAUUGGCGAAAGCCUGACCCAACCAAGCAGCGUGCAGGAUAACGGCCCUAUGGGUUGUAAACUGCUUUUAUACAGGAAUAAAGUUAGCCACGUGUGGUUAUUUGUAGGUACUGUAUGAAUAAGGACCGGCUAAUUCCGUGCCAGCAGCCGCCGUAA